GAGGUAGAGGUCGCGGGUGCGAUCAGUACGCUGAUGGAGGCGCUAAGGAGCCGCUUAUGAGAUCAGCCGAAAGGUGUACCCGCCGAAGCUCGCUGGACGUUCCUUAUACGGUCCAGUGAGCUGGGGUUGCUGUCGAAAGGCGCAGAACUGUCACGGAAGUACAUUUCCUUUAUAUAAAGGUAUGAAUUCUUCUGUGUUGAGCUA
rnacentral:ncRNA from 1 species